rnacentral:lncRNA from 1 species
AUGCAGCUCUGCAGAAGAAAGAGCCCCAGGCUCACACGUUUCCUUUCCCACAAGCUGGGCUGGUUUGGAACAACCUGCUGUGCGUGCGCAGUGUAGCCACGUGCCACGCAGAGAUACCAGCCGAGCGCCCUGAGCAGCGGUGGCAUAGCAGCGUGCUGGCACUACUGGCUUCUUAACUCUGCACGCACGUGCCCUGCUUCCAGUCCUGCAGCAAGGCUGCUGGUGGCACAAAACUGGGAGGAGCGGCUGAUCCACCGCAAGGCUGUGCUGCCGUUCAGAGAGACCUGGACAGGCUGGAGAGCAGGGCAGAGAGGAACCUCACGAAGCUCAACAGAGGCAAAUGCAGGGUCCUGCACCUAGGGAGGAAUCACGCCAUGCACCAGGGCAGGCUGGGAGCUGGCCUGCUUGAAAGCAGCCCUGUGUGGAUGGACCUGGGAGUCCCGGUGGACAAAAGGUUAACCAUGAGCCAGCACAGGACCCCUGUGGCCAAGGCCAGUGGGAUCCUGCCCCUCUACUACACCGUCAACAGAGUCAGCAACUCCUCGCAGUUUAGUAUCAUCAGUGAAUUUACUCAAAACACCUUCUAGUCCUACAUCCUGGGCUCUUCACGAGCAGGUUACAAACACCGGCGGAAACCAGCGAUGAGAUCCCCGCCUCCCCAGGCCCCGGCUGUGUAUGGCCGGGCAGAGGGUGCUGCUGGCUCCGCCCGCACUUCCUCAGCCGCCCUCACGAGGGCUGCCGGGCCCCGGCGGCUCCCUCGGCAGCCUCGAGGGGCCUCGGGACAAGAAAAAAGCCUCAAAAGAACAAAAAGCCAUGCCCGCCACCAUCCUCCGCUCCGUUGGGGCACGCCACUGCCCCGGAGCAGGUCAGUGCCACUUCAUGCUUGGUGUGGAUCCCAUUACCGGAGGGUGUCAUUACAGGUGUAAUUUCAUAUGACUCGAUCUGUGCACAUUAUUUCUUGUCCUGUCAUGUGGCAGUCUAUCCAGGGACUUAUCAGGCUGAAAAUAGGGGAUGAAGAUGCUGUCUUCAUGGUAAGUUUUCCAAUACCAGAUUGGAUCCUGUUCCUUCAUUCGUUUUUAUCUGAGGUUUCGCCUUUUUGAUUAGAAUAACAUUAGUACUUUUGUUUUAAUGACUUCCAAAGUAGAGCACCCUCCUAAGGGAGCAAAAGAAUCUGUUUUGCCUUGUGAUUGUUUAUGUGACCUCAGCUGAGCUUAAGGCUCCUCUGAAAAUAAUAGGCAGUUUAGCCUCUAUUAUCUGUAGUAUGCUCCAGAGAUCUCCUGGAGUUUUUUUUGU